rnacentral:lncRNA from 1 species
GCCUUUUCCUUUAUCUUUCCCGGACAUACCAACGCCCUCGAUUUUAACUGAAAACAUUAUAUUUAAUACAAGGGUGAGCAAAAGCUUGCUCGACAAGGAAAUAAGCAGUUGAAUAUAAUAGAACAGGAAUAUUUAUAGCAAUGAGGAUAAAAUUCAAUAGAUAUCGAACAAGAAAGUUUAUUUAACAGUUUCGAGUCUGAAAAUCAGGCUUUAGCAUGUUAUAAGGUCAAAUGACCAGUGAACUCUGUACUAGAAUUGACAGCACUAACACUGCAAUCUAUGAAUACAAACAGUUAUUGAAGCUGUUCUAUAUCCUAGACUUGUACUUUAGGGGAUUAGCCUAAGUAACUUACAUUGUGCACAACAUAACAGUCUAAUGACACUUUACAUGUUCUUCGGAAUCAUAUGUCUGAUACAAUAUGCCCCUAUAAAAUAGUUGUUCAUUCAUAGCAUUAUAUAAGAAUCCGCACCACAACAAAAUGGUUUGGAAAACAUUAAAUGAGAUUUUCAUGAAUAAUAUCAACGUGUCUCAACAGUUGUCUAACCAAAAUAAUGGCAUUGACAUUCUUUCAAUAUAAACUUAUUUAAGAGAGAAAGGUUCGAUAUACUUGAUAACAUUCUAACUAUUCUCUUGAAGCUGAUUUGAAUAAAAAGGUUAUUUAACCUUGUAUUAUUCAUAAAUAAUGAGCGACAGUUCAGAAUUUAGAGAACCUGUCCAUAUAUGAAUAAUUCUAGAAUACUUGCUCAAUAAAGAGUAAGAGUUAGAAACUUCUUUGGUUUGUGGAUUACUGAUACAGACUCAAUUUAAUUUGUGUGUUCUCUCAGGUCCUACACAAGUAUUUGUAUUUACAAGCAUAUUAGCCACAUAGCCAAGUCAUAUAGUUUGUAAGUUCACAUAUCACAUAGUUUUAGCGAUCAUGAUUGUAGUUUAGAAUCCUAUAUCUGAGAUAUUUUAUACAUUUUUCAAAUACCUCAUCCAUGUUUUCACAUUAGUCAUUUUUCUCUUUAAUAGGGUUCUGUAUGCUUUGUAAUAAGCAACCACCUAAUAAUUAUCAUUUACAUCCUAUUCAAGACUUAGAAUAUAGGUAUAUCAUAUUUCCUUAUUCAACUUCUAACCCACACGAAAAUUUUAUAGUGUAUCUUAUAUUUCGAAGGUAAUUUCAACCUGUAUGGUUAUCCCUUGUUGUUCUCAUGAUUUAAAGCUCCCUUUUUUGAUACACUAGUACAUCAAUUAUUCUUGUUUCUUCCUAUGUUGUUCAAACAGCCUUUUGAGAUUUAAAUACUUCGAACUUGACUUAACACCUGUUAUUUUUUGUUCUUUAUACAUAGCUCAAGUGCACAAGAGAAUUUACAAGUGCCUUUCAUGUUUCGGGGUAAUCACAAUUUUAUUGGGUAACUUAUAGAUCUUAUAACCUUUUGUAGCUUUAUUUUUUUUGUAUACAAAAGAGUAACAUUCUUGUCUUUCUUCUCUAUGUCAAAACAGCCUCUUUUUUGUUUAGGUUCAUCAAAAAACCCUCUUUAUUGCAUAACAGUGUCCGCUUGACCAGCCAUGUGGGAAACCAAGCUUUGCUUGGCCCUGUGGGUCUUUACUAAGCUUGGUGUGGCCUAGACUGGCCUCGCUAUCCCAAGCACAGUCUAACAGUCCCCAAACUCACCAUGUUUCUCCUUUACUAACUUUUGUAUAGAUAAUUUCUAAUGUACUAUGUGACACUUUUAAAUACUUGCUUACUUAAACAAGUAAAAAUUACACUAUUUAAUUCUUCAGUUUGCAUUUCUAAUCCAAAAUGUGUUGCCUAUAUCUGUUAUAACAUCUUAUUGUGGCUGCUUAUUAUUGCCUUAUAGCAACAACCCCCUAGUUUGUAAAAAAUUCCAAUUUCCAGGGUACUAAUUUAGUUGUAAGAGACUUUAGAUAAUUGUAAAUGAUAUCAUUACAUAGUAUGCUUAACCCAUGAACUGCAACAAUUUAUAAUAUAUAGUAGUCAAGAUAACUAUCAAAAUAGCCCUUUAAGGCUUUAACAAUCCCUUUCCACAUUCUUUUAUGUUUUGGAAUAUUCACAACUUGAUUAAGCAGUUUAUAGCCUCUAUAAAUACUUAUAGAUUUAUUACAGAAUGCUAAAUAUCAAACAUUCCCGUUGUUUCUUUUUAAUGCCAAACAGUCACAAUUUAAUCCAUUGGAUGGCACUCAAGCUUUGUGUGGCCACACUUGGCCUCAUGGCCCUAUUCGAACCUAGUAGCCAUAUCAUUGGCUCAAUAGCCCCAAGUACAAUAUAACUACUAAGUUAUUUAUAUAAGAUUGUAACUAUAUCAUUACUUCCCUAUGCAUACUUUUUUUUUUGGCAAUUAGUUAAUUUCUCAAAUUACAUUUUUAGUUUAAGCUAGAUUGCCCAAAACCACUUUAAAAACAGCUCAAAGCUGCAGCUCUCAUGCCAACUGCUGCUGCCUAAAGGCAGCAGCGACACUUGUUUUCUUUUCUUGCUUGAUCUCCCCAUAAUCUUGGUUCACUUGCACUUCACUUGAAGGUUACACAACUAAUAUAUUCAAUUAUUAGGGUAACUUAAAUUUAUAGCGAAACUAUAUCCUACAUGAACCAACAUGUUAGCUAAACUAACUCUUGCUAUUGUGAUUUAAUAAGGUCAGCUACAAAUGGCAACAGUUCCCAACCCUUAGCUUCCAUUUCUCUAGCUUUUAAUUUAUAAUUUAAUCAUUUUAGUGUGCAAAGGCCUUGGGGUUUUAUAUAAGUAAUAUAUUCACCUAUUUAGAAAUAUACAUACUAAUUUGUCUAGUUCCUUUAAUGCAUUGACUGAGAACUCAAGAGAGUCCCCGGCCCAUGCUAACUGUAACUGCCUAAAGGUAGCAGUCCACUUCUCUUUCCCCCUUAUCUUUAAAAGUUUACUAUCCUAUAAUAGUAACACCACCUUUGACAUGCUAUACUUGGUACACUCACCUUAGGAAAUAACACAUAAUUAGCAUGCCAAACUGUGUGUCGGCUCUGCAGCGCAGAGCAACACAGCGCUGGGAGCUGGCUGCUGUUGCCUGCAGCAGCUCGGCAGUUACUUAAUGUGACGCCCCCAAAAUAGGUAUACAUCACCCAUCUUGGGUCACCAAAUACAUGGUACUUAAUACAAAUACAAACUUAAUUAUACAACAUGAGCUGAGAGGUUUUACACGAAUAUUGUCAUCUAGACAAUAUCCAAACUCAAAUAGAGUUCUCAUUACAUUUAUCGGCAUACUAUUUUAUAGAAUAGUGAGGACUACUAUAACACCAUCUCGGGCAAUCACUCCGUUCCCCGACUAGUUCCGGCUACGUUCUCAUUUCCUGAAGAGAACAAUGGAAGUAAAAGGGUGAGUUCAACUAGCCCGGUAAGAAAUAUUAUGACUAAGAUAGUGCAGAAUAAGUUAUCAUUAGCCUUCAACAAUGUUAAACUGAUAGAAUAUAAUAGACAACAAGUUUAACUGCAGUGGAACAAGCAAUCCAUUAGAAGAGUCAAGUAGAGCAUGAUAUCUACUAUCUUCUAUGAUUUAAAAAGUUUAUCAAUAACUUUAUUGCUGGGACUCAACUUAAUAAAUAGAUCACAUCAUCGAAUCAUCCCUUCACUACGAGCCAAGGAUAUUCAUUAGUAUCACGUCCACAAAUUAUUCUUGCACUACGGGCCAAGAAUUAUUCGUGUAAUCAUCAAUGGUCAUGACUAUACCGAAUUAUCCCUGGUCAUAAUCAUACCAAUCUACAGUCCAUCUAUUCACGUAAGCCAAAGAUGACUUUCAUCACAAUAUAAUCAUGAGGAUGAUGACAAUGAUAUAAGAAUUCAAUUAAAAGAAAGCAAAGGAUAAUUUUUUAAAGAUUUAUAAUUUAAUUUAUCCAAAAUUCAAUAAUGUCCAACUUUUCAACAUGAUACUGCUUUGGACAUAAAAAAAAUAAAUUUUUUGGUGAAUAGUACCUCAUGAAUAGUACUUCAGGAAUAGUACCCCGUGAAUAGUAUCCCGAUAUGAAAAGUGGCCCAAAUACCCGAGUGAACAAUAUUUGAGUGUAGUAAUUAGGUGAAUAGUAACCCGUGAAUAGUAACUCGUGAAUAGUACCCCGAUAUGAAAAGUGCCACGAAUACCCGAGUGAAUAAUAUUAUAGUGAAUAGUAACCAGGUGAAUAGUAACCCAUGAAUAGUAACUCAUGAAUAGUACUUCGAGUAAAAAUAUUGAUAUUUAAUAAAAAAGUUCAUAUCAAUAUUCCAAUAAAAUAAUAUUGGAUAAUGCGCAAAACUCACGGAUGUUCCACUAAUUUCAAGGAUUAUAGAAGCAAUACUUACCAUAGUAAGUUUAGAUUUAAGAAUAUGAAAAGAAUUAACAUACGAAAACUGCAAAUGGAUUUUCACCUAUCAUACGGUACGUAAUCCGCGUAGACAGGUUAUUCCGACAUACUAAAGGAUGAAUACGAAAAAUAGUAUUCCUUAUGAAUACGAAAGAAAUAAUACCAUUUACCUUAGUAGAAAGCUGGAUACUGCAAAAGUGAAGUAGGAGAAUACUCUUCUUCUUGCUCUCUAUAGUUUCUCUCUCUAUAGUGUCUCUUGUGAAUCUCAGUGAAUUGGUGAGAAUGAAAGAAGAAUUAAGCUUCUAUUUAUAGGAGAAUGGACUAAAUAGUAACUAAUUCACGAACGGUCCAGAUUGAUUCACUAUUAAAACGGACGGUCCAUAUUGAUUACUAUUAAAACCACAACCGACGGUCCAGAUUGAUUUACUUUUAAAACCACCACUGACGGUCCAGAUUGAUUUACUUUUAAAACCACCAUCAAUGGUCCAGAUUGAUUUACUAUUAAAACCACCACCAAUUGUCCAGAUUGAUUUAACUUAUCACACUUUAGUACCCCUAAAGUUUUCCAAGUUUGCAUUAUUCCCCUCUAACUUUUAUAAUUCACUUAUCUUCAAUAAACGCAUUCUUAAUACUUCAACAAUUAUUUAUCAUUAAUAUUAUAACUCACAAUAUUUAACAACCAGAUCAUUCCCAGAAAAGAGGGGGCUUUCCAAUAAGGAUUUCUCUCUAUUGGCGCGCAAUUAGGUGACCAAACCUCUCCUCGACAGAACUUUCUAGACAUUGUCAAUAUUGCAAAUAAUAAUAUGAAUAACUUUGUUGUCUCAAUUAUUGAUUUAAUAAUAUAAAAUAUUAUGCAGAUGAUACUGUGACAAUAAUUGAAUCAAUAAUAUGAGAGAUAUGAUGCAGCAAUUACUGUAGCAAUAAUUGAGUAUAACUGAGUGACUUCUCACGUAAGCAUCAAUAAUCAAUACCGUGUGCUACUAUGCAACCACGCGUAUUACUGUACUUUUACCACCGGGUAGUUCAACAGUUUAACGGUAAAACUUCCGCUGUUAUUUUUAUAAAAAGAUAUUUAUGUCAUUUUCUAACUAAGAUAAUACUUCCGUUGUGGAGUCCACCAAUGAUUGUGCCGUCGUACGAAUAUUCCCUGCUAAAACGAAUAUUCCCCGACCAAUCGAAUAUUCACUGACACAACGAAUAUUUUAUAUCAACUUGCUUACUUUGCAAAAUUUUUCAAAUAUUACCCACAACUAUAACAUUAUAUCAUAUCCACACCAUAAUAUUCAAAAAUAUAUUUCGAGAAAAAUUAAUCUUUAUAAAAAAAAGUUGGGGUCUUACACUUAACAUAUACCAUUCUCCCUUUUUUGUUGUACUUUUAAGUUUAUGAUAUGCAAUCUGGUUUAGGCCUAAGUCCUGGUAUAGCGUAGUGACCAUGACUACUUACUAAGGUGAUGACUCGGACUACCAAAUAGAAUUCAUUUUGCUGCCAAAGUAAUGAUAACAAGAAUAGCUUGUCACAUUGAUUCUUUAGUUUAUGUUUUGGCUUAAACUAACUUUUCAUUACUCAAAACACUUUUAUUAACCAUACAUGUGUUAACUAAAUCAGGUUCAAUAGCUUUCCAACCUUGACAAAUAAUAUGAACAAUGUAUUUACAUAGUAUGUAUAAAAAUAACAACCCAAAUUGGGUUCUUAAAUACAUAAUUUCUCUGUUUCCACAUAUUCCUUUAGCAUUCAAGGUUCAUCCCUUGCUUUUAUAACCACUUGGAUUUAUUCACUCAUCUUAGCUAACCACAUAAAACACAUAUAAUUAUUGCACUUUUAUUAUCAAACAACUAAAAUAUUGAACAUACCAUUAAAGUUUAGUUUUACCGAAUUGCUAGCUUAUUUGAUAAGUUUAUAAGUUUCCUUUACUGCUGUAGAUUUUGAUUUCCAUCUCCUUUGUUUGGUUGAGUUGAAAUUUUAAAGCUACCAUAGAUGAGACAUUCACUUAAUAUUGAGGUAUAUUAGUUGGGCAAGUUUGGUUAGUUCAAAUGGACUGACCGAGAGCCAAGGAAGCCCCCAGUCAUUGACUGUCAUGGUGACUGCUGCUGCCGUGGGCAACAACCUUGCUCUAGACACUUAACAAUCUAACAACUUUUGAUUCAUUCGUCAUACAAUAGCAUAUUUUUAGAGUAUAUUAUACAUUGCAUACAAGGCUAUAUUUACUGAUUAUAAACUACCUACUUUGGAAUCUUCAAAUUACCCAAAAUAAUGCCCAAAAUUACUAGGCAUAGUGGAUUCCCAACUUUUCAUUUGGCUUAACAUCAUUUUCUUUUCAGUUUAACUUACUUAAAUCUCUUUAUUAACUGAAUAAAGUGAUCUACAUACAAACUUUGCUUUGGCUUCUACUUUUUUUUGAUUUUAAUCAAAACAGUCCAUUGAGGACUUUUAACAAACACCCUACGUGCACUAUUCUGUGGCACAGGUUUCAUAGCUAUUUACUUACUCUUUAACUCCAAUAAGUCACCUUAUAACACCUCAACCAACCUAUCUCCUUGUGCCUAAACCAAGCAAUAAAAAUAAAAUAACUUAAGAAGAGUCGGGCCUAAUAGUUAUCAUAGCAACAAUAUCCAUAUAGCAGUCAUUAAUUCUAUUGCAAGCCCUCCGACCAUUACAAUCCAUUAGUAGCCAGGAAAUGGAAUGGAAAGGAUUGGAGAGCUUACCUUAAUAGUUCAGAGGUUGUAAUAAGUUAUUGUUCGAUUUCUUCUCCUUCUCUCUAUGUGUGUUUUAGUUUUGAAGCUUAGUUGAUAGUAUAUCAGCUGAGUUUGAGGUUCUUUGUAUGUCUAUAUGUAGCUAAGAAGGAAAGGGGUAGCCAUCAUGGCUCUACAUAGCGGUUACUACAUUACUCUGACAGCCUAAGUCAGUUGCCCCUGCUCAUUUGAUGCACUCCCUCUUGGACCCUAUGCAGUCUCCUUAUCUGGCCCCUAACUUGCAACCUAUAUUGGCCUCUAUAAGUCUCAUGGUAGCCUACCUCUGUUAGCAACUACUUUGACCCCUAUUUUUACCUGACAUACUGGCUAAUACAGUGAUUUAGCCUCCCAACAGUUAGCUUAGGUAUUCUAGAGGUCAACCAACCUGCUAACUAACUGUCAAUUUGAG